UUCGAAAGAACUUUCAUUCUGGGCUGACUUUGGUGACAGUUUCCCACUUAAUGUGUGACAAACGCUCCUAACUUUGAAGAGGUUUGCCACAAUAUAAAGAGAUAAGUAAGUGUAGAUAUUAUAAACAGCUGAAUUAGACAGAAAAGUGUUAAAUAGGAUGUAAUAAAGUUAAAGUAAUGGAAUUUAGUAAAGCCAUGGAGUCGCUGAGAGAAGCGCACAAUAAUUCCACCAAUUCGGCUUGAAUGUGAAAGAGCAAACUGGAUAAUGUAGGGCAAAAUUACCCGGUAAACUGGAUAAAUAAAAUACAAUAAAAAAAAGAGGCAGGUAUGAAUUGAAACAAUCACAUUAAACCAGAAUAAGAAGCUCAACUUGCCAGUGUUUUGAAAUCAGCAUUCUAUCAUCAGAAAAUACAUUACGAUGGGGGGCCAGAUAUGACUCUGCUCGCCUCGCAGACGUGCGAGGGGAGAGUAGAGCCAUAAAAUAUCAAAGCGUAAGAAGAUAUCUAAAACAGGGAGCUAUGGGACUAUGGGAAGAAUGUGGGAAGAAUGUGUGUAGGGAGACACUGGAACCUAGUGCAGUAGCAGGAAAUGCAGUUAUACGAGAGUUAGUAAGUAAGAAUGGAACUUUCACAUAGCGGUGUAUGAUCUCUGAUCGAUCAAUGAGUGGUUCAUAGAGAUUACAGUUUCUAUGGAAGGCGUAUUAGAUCACGUUUUACCUAACUUCUAGUAGAGUACCGAUGGGAUUUACAAAUAGCCCCACUUGGUAUCAUUUUGCAUUGAAACAAUCGUUUCUGUGGUGAUAAAAUACGAGGAUGAUUUGUUAUUGGCGUCAAACGACGGAAAAUAAAGUUAUAUAGUUAGUAAAUUAAUUGGAGGAACAGGCAAAGCAAAAUGUAACAUAUUUGAGGUUUUCGAUUUCUGAGGGCAAGACAUAACCCGGGAUCAGGUAGAAACUAGGCGUUCUGUGGCAUGGCUAAGCACUCCGCGCAUGCUCAGGAAAACGUAAGGGGUUUUCAGUUUUGUUAGACAUAUUAUGCCGUCAUUCUCAGAAAGUGCUAAGACACUUAUAGAAUGGAAUCAAUAGUGUGAGGAAAUGUUUGUCGAGUUAAAGAAGUAAUUGGGUUAAACGUCAGCAUUGGGAUCGCCAAAUUUAAAUUCAACUUUUAAAAUGUUUUAGUUGGUUUAUGAACAUAGUGGAGGAUGAAACAAACAUUUAAUGAUUGGAGUAAGGAUAGUGGAAUUAUAAUUAUAAUGUUCAGUAUAUAAGUAAUACUAUUGGCUUGCUGAUUAAAAGGUAACAUUGUGAAUACUAAGGAAUUGUACACUUUCUUUUCCAGAAGGGGUUUUAAUUUUCUCUUGUCGGAAAUGUCCUUGGAGACUGCGAUACUGGGAAAAGCAGUUAGUGAUAGUCGGCUGUUUUAAGAGUAAAAAUAUCUAGAUUAGGCUAUAAAUGGAGUUCCGGAUAAGUGAGGCCGGUUCCUGUGUGAUCUUGACCUACCAGCAAGUACACACCAUACCGGGAAAGAAUAUGCGUUAGUGGAUUUAUUUUGAGAAGGGAUAGUGUAAAAUGGGGUGCUUGGUAAUGUUGUUCAGGCUAUUUUGGUGGGAUGUCAAAAGCACUAGUAUGGAUAUACCAGAGUGCAGAAUAACGGAUUAGUUUACAAAUGUCUGAUUGAAUAUUGCCAGUGUCAGUAAACAUCAGGGAAGUAACAUCAUUGGAAUUAUUGCAAGCAGCACAGUUAAACGUUAGCUUGGGUGUUUGACUGCCAAAUGGGAAAAGUAGUAGGAACUAAUGAUUCAGAAAGUUUGGUUCAACCCUGUUCAAUACGACAUAUUUGGGGUUUUGAGAACCAUGUGACUCAAGAAAAACGUAGUCUUUGUUUCAGUAUUCGAAAUAAAUGUAUUAAAGUGACAUAAGAAUUGGCUGAUGUAUUUUCUACAUUUGGUGCUUUACAGGUUCAUCUUAAACUAACGGAUGUUUAAUGAGUGUUGACAGUAUGUGAAUGAUAAUAUAUUAUGUCUUUAUAGCACUCAAAUGAUGCGAUAUUUUAGUAAAUUGAAAAACAAAGGUUUCAAUACAAGGAUAUAUGAUGAGUAAAUUGAACCUUGAGAUUGUAAAAAUAAUAAAAAAUAAAAUAACUUGCGGUUGGAAGCAAGCAAGCAACUAGUGCGAUGUUUGAAAUAAAGGUAUGAAUAAACAUUACUAUUGUUUGGUUUUAUAGUUAGAUAACACUAGUAAAUUUGAGCAGGAAAGUUAUGUAUUCUGGACAUUAUAAACUGUUUCCAUUAUGUGGUACAGUGUCUAGUAAUACGAGUAGAAUGAAUUACGUAUUGACUAACAAGAUGAUAAGACAUCAACUUUUUGAAGGUUCUACAGUGGUUAACCAAUAGUUUUGUAUUAUACUAAACUAAUUACACAAGUUAAAAUGAUAAGAUUACUGGAAAGGGCCUCUGGGUGUUAAUUUGGAUGGACCUUUUACAAUUCAGUUUUAAACUGGGUAUAGAGAAGGGACAGAGAAGGGAGAGGAAACAUUUAAUGGCGUCAAAUGCCCUGAAUCCUAAAACUUUCCCGUGAAGACUGAUCAACUUCACUAGAAAUUAUUGGAACAGGUGGGAUUUAAAUAUAAAAUGACUAAGAAACACCAGUCUCUAUUCAAAGUGUACAAUUACUUUGAAAGUCUAUUAUUUCCAUAAGAAAAUUAUGAAGAGGUGUAAUCUUGAAUUGACUAGUUACUCAAAUAACUGUAUUUUUUUAUUUAACAUGUUGUUAUUGAAUCAUGUGUUCAUAGGGAAAAUGAUCAGCUCCCUGGAGUUAUGGUCUUUGGGAAAACAUGCAAAUGUGCUUUGUUCAGUCUGCCUAUAGAAGGGUAUGUUAUUCUGUUUUUGGGUUGGACAAUUUAUAAACGUUUUAGUUAUGAUUUGGAUAUAGAACUGUUUAAAUUUACUAGGCCUAGGCAAGCUCUGGAAACUAAAUCCUGAGACAGGGAGGUUGACAGAACUUACAAAAGAUUAGAUUAAAGGUUUUUGUUUCUUCUGUUUUAUUAUGUCAUUGGAAAUGUAAUGUUAACUUGUAUUGAUAUAAUAAAUGACAAAAGGUUAAUAGUCUGAUUUGCGAUAACACCCAGGGAUGGAGAAGGAGACCAACAUAACAUGCGCAUAGAACGAAACGGAUGGACGUGUUCCCCAGGUUUAGUUACAUUCUGAGUGGUGGUGAUUUGUUAAAAAUAUGCAGUUAUUAUAUUUUAAUUUUCUCUUUUCUUGUCUGGUCAAUUUAUAUUUGUUUUAAGGAACAUAAGUGUGUUUAUUGUUCCUGAGGAGGGAAUGUUAUAAAUUGACAAAAAAUGAUUUGAGAAUGUUUUGGUAUGUAUCAAACGGUGGAAGGAAAUAGAAGUAGUAAAUGAUGUGUUAUGGGUUAGAAGAACUGACUGCAUUGGGGAUCUGAGGGGGCUCAAAUGAAGGUUAUGGUAGUAGAGGGGUGUUAUUUCUAGAGACAAUGUAUAUUAGAGGAAGAUAACUCACAGAAGAGAAAGGACAGCUGGAUGUGUAAAAUAUAGGGACAAUUCUAAGUAAAUUGAACAUUACACAUACCUAGAUUAUGGUAAGAGUAAAAGUGAUAGUGGUGACAUUUAACACUAUGGUAAAAGUUUAAGAAACUUAUGAUUUGGAUUUUUAAGAGGUUGGAUAUUCUUCCAACUGGAAGACACUUGACUGAUUACAUGUUAUUCUUACAGCAGUUGCUAUAGGGACCAUAAUUUGGCUAUCAUUAUGUAUAAGUAUAUCUGUGGUAGGAGGCGAGGUAUUUGAGACAAUGUUUAAAUAGGGCUGUUAUUUAAAUAUUACAAAGUAGUGAUCUUGACAUAAGAAGAAAGUCUGUUGUCAGGAAAUAACCCAUGUGUUAGUGUGUAUGUCCACAGGAGAAAAGCAGCACAUAAGAAGCCAGAAAUAACCAAGGGCAUGGGCUGAAUUCUGGAGAUUGAGUGUACAUCAAGGUACACCAGGCUGGGGGUAUACUUCUUACAGCACCUGCAGUGGUAAAGAUCGUCAUGUCUCUCUUCGGUGGGUGCAUAAUUCUCACAAGAAGUAAGGCCCAGCUGAAUAAUGGGCAGAGCAGGCAACAGAUGGCACACAGACAGCAGAGUUGGGGACAGAUAUGCAGGGACAGACUGGCAGAGACAGGGAGUCUCAGCCAGCUUGUUCAUGAGCUAAGACUUGCCGGUGCGGUACAGCCCGACCACCGCCCCAACUACGACUUGCUGGUUCAGGCUCAUCAGGUACUUGAUGGCACCAGGAAGUACAUGAAGCUCACAGUCGGCGUUCUCGACAAGGCACAUUGGGGAAUCCAUGGUCAAGUGACUUCACUGGAUGAUCAGCCUACAGCUCCAACAAAUAUUCAAUCUAUAAUAAAAUGAUUAAUUAAAUAUAGUUCAGACAACAGACUGAACAACAACCGCACUGUACAACGUCGCCGAGUGUUUCUAUAGGACAGCAUCAUGGCAGGCCAGACAGUACCCAUGAAGGAACCAGUAUGUCUGAUAGAGAACGACAGUGAUGGGAAGCUGCGUGUGGUCCGCAGUGCACUGGACAUCCUGGACCAGAUUGACCAGCAUGUGGUAGUGGUGUCGGUGGUCGGGCUGUACCGCACCGGCAAGUCCUACCUCAUGAACAAGCUGGCUGGCGAGAAAAAAGGUUUUGCCCUGGGAGCCACCAUCCAGUCCAAAACUAAGGGCAUCUGGAUGUGGUGUGUGCCUCACCCUGAAAAAAGAGACCACACCCUGGUGCUGCUGGAUACAGAGGGGCUGGGGGAUGUGGAGAAGGGUGAUGAGAAGAAUGACAACUGGAUCUUUUCCCUGGCUGUCCUGCUCAGCAGUACUCUGGUGUACAACAGCAUGGGAACCAUCGACAACAACGCACUGGAGAAACUACACUAUGUGACAGAACUGACAGAGCACAUCAAGGUGAAGUCCAACCAGCGAGACGGGGAGGAAUCUUCAGAGUACCUGCGUUACUUUCCUUCCUUUGUGUGGACAGUCAGAGAUUUCACCCUGACCCUGGAGUUUAAUGGGAGACCCAUCACAGCAAAUGAGUACUUGGAGAAUGCUCUUAAACUAAGAACAGGUCAUAGUAAGAAAGAUCAGGCAUACAACCUGCCUCGUAGCUGUCUGCGGAACUAUUUCUCUCCUCGCUGGUGCUUUGUGUUUGAGAGACAAAAUGAGACGUAUAGAGGAGCUGACCGAUGCUGACCUGGAGCCUGCCUUUGUGGAGCAAGCCAAGGAGUUCUGUGACCACGUCUUCAAUGAGGCCAAGACCAAGACCCUGAAACAGGGCCUGAAAGUUACCGGCAGACUGCUGGGAAACCUGGCAGAGACGUAUGUGUCCGCCAUCCGGAGCGGGCAGAUCCCCUGCCUGGACAAUGCUGUGUUGGCGCUGGCCCAAAUUGAGAACUCCAGUGCCAUCGAGAGGGCCAGGGCCCACUACCAGAAGGGUAUGGCUGACUGGGUGGCCUACCCCACAGAGACCCAAGAGGAGCUGUCUGAAGUGCAUGCUGCCAUGGAGAAGGAGGCUGUGGCCAUAUUCAUCAACAACUCCUUCAAAGACGAGGACCAGAAGUACCAGUUGGAGCUCAUGAAAGUGCUUCAAGAGGAGUACGAUAAGAUCUGUGAGAGGAACUACAAGGAGUCCCAGAAGGCAUGCGAGUCCAAAAUCGAAUGUAUCUUUGCCCCCUUGGAGGAGAAAAUAAGGGAUGGCUCCUACAUGACCCCUGGAGGAUACAAAGAGUACUGCAACGACCUGAAACUGGCCACCAGCGAAUACAGAUCUGAGGGAGGCAGGGGAGUGAAGGCUGAAGAGGUACUGAAGGAGUACUUGGAAAGGAAAGCCAGCAUUGGUCAGGCCAUCCUGUCAGCAGACCAGUCCCUCACUGAAGCUGAGCAGAGAGCAGAAGCCGAGCAAGCAAAAAGGGAGGCAUCUGAGCGGGAGAAUCGAGCCAUGGAGGAGCAGCUGGUUGUCCAGGAGAGGUUGAGAGCGGACCAGCAGAGGACGUAUGAGGAGAAUGUGAACCAGCUGAUGGAGAGGAUGGAGAGAGACAGUAGAAAUGCCAUAGCAGAGCAUGACAGAGUUCUGCAGGCCAGACUCAAGGAGCAGAAUGACCUUCUCCAGCAAGGGUUUGAUGACAGAGCACACCAAAUGCAAAGAGAGAUAGAUGCCCUUAAGGUUGCGAAGGCACAAGAGGAAGAGAAAAAACCCUCAUUUAUGAGCACAGCUCUGGAUACUAUAGGGACUGCAGCUACCUUGUUCCUUCCAGGAAUACUUCCCAAAGUAGGAGGAAUGGCUGUGAAAUGGCUGUCUAAGUGGUUUUGAUGUAGGUUCCCGAGGAGGAUGACGAGCUAUUAUUCUUAUAGACAUGUGGAUUGACUGAAUCUGUAUUUAUUGGUAGUUGAUUCAUGGAUUUAGGUUACUCACACAGUUAAGGUUUUAGUUUAUGUUUUAUAAUAAAUAUUUUGAAUGCCUAAUUAUGAUAAACUAAAGCUUUUAGAAAACACACUUAAAUGGUUUUGCACUGGUGUUUUUCAAAUGUUACUAUUACCAAAUAGGCCUACUUUUUAACACUGAUGACGUUUACAUGCACACCAAUAUCCCGUUAUUAUUCGGGAUACUCAAGUAUUCUGUUCUUGAGUUGACUCAUAUAAACGUCAUAUCCCAUUUACAAUAACCCGAAAAACUUGACGUAUUGUAACGCCCUGGCCAUAGAGAGGGGUUUUUGUUCUUUAUUUUGGUUAGGCCAGGGUGUUACAUUGGGUGGGCGUUCUAUGUGCAUUUUUCUAUGUUGGUUUAUUUCAUUGAUUUUGGCCGUGUGGCUUCCAAUCAGGCACAGCUGUAGAGUGUUGUUGCUGAUUGGGAGUCACACAUAAGUGCCUGUUUUUCCGUUGGGGUUUUGUGGGUAAUUGUUUCUGUUUAGUGUUUUGCACCUGACAGGUCUGUUUGGCUGUCAGUUUUCUUGUUUUGUUUUGUAUAGUGUUCUUUCUGUUAUUAAAUUCAAUGAUG